rnacentral:tRNA from 1 species
AGAUGGAUAGCUCAAUAUUGAUAGAGCGCAUGAUUCGCAAUCAUGAAGUGUUGGUUCAAUUCCAACUCCAUCUC